rnacentral:lncRNA from 1 species
CUAUCUUGGCAGGUAUUUAUUAUCUAAUUGGCUGACCAGAGGCGAGGAGCACGCAGAAGUGGAGAGGGUUUCGGUGAGGCCGGCUUGCUUUUAAAGCGAAUAUCAUUGCCUAUCUUGGCAGGUAUUUAUUAUCUAAUUGGCUGACCAGAGGCGAGGAGCACGCAGAAGUGGAGAGGAUUUCGGUGAGGCCGGCUUGCUUUCAAAGCGAAUAGCAUUGUCCAAUUUGGCAGGUAUUUCUUACCUAAUUGGCUGGCCAGAGGCGAGGAGCACGCAGAACUUGAGAAGAUUUCGGUUAGGCCGGCUUAGCGCAAUCACAGUAGAUAACCGGAUUACGAGGGCAGUGCCAGUGUUGGAGAUCGGUCCUCUUCUUGCUUAGCUUUCGGUGUCGGGUAGAAACUGAAGUGUAAACGGUAAGCUAGCUGCGUGGAACUAACACUAUAACUCCCAUAUUCAUAAAUGCAUUUUAAC